UACGGAGGGUGCAAGCGUUACUCGGAAUUACUGGGCGUACAGCGCACGCAGGCGGUCUGUCAAGUCCGAUGUGAAAUCCCCGGGCUCAACCUGGGAACUGCAUUCGAAACUGGCAGGCUAGAGUCUUGUAGAGGGGGGUAGAAUUCCAGGUGUAGCGGUGAAAUGCGUAGAGAUCCGGAGGAACACCAAAGGCGAAGGCAGUGUCCUGGGGAGUACCUGACGCUCAGGUGCGAAAGCCAGGGGAGCGAACGGG
rnacentral:rRNA from 1 species